GCAGCCGCCACGGUAAUACAGAGGGUGCGAGCGUUAAUCGGAUUUACUGGGCGUAAAGCGUGCGUAGGCGGCUUUUUAAGUCGGAUGUGAAAUCCCUGAGCUUAACUUAGGAAUUGCAUUCGAUACUGGGAAGCUAGAGUAUGGGAGAGGAUGGUAGAAUUCCAGGUGUAGCGGUGAAAUGCGUAGAGAUCUGGAGGAAUACCGAUGGCGAAGGCAGCCAUCUGGCCUAAUACUGACGCUGAGGUACGAAAGCAUGGGGAGCAAACAGGAUUAGAUACCCCGGUAGUCCCUGUCUCUUAUAC
rnacentral:rRNA from 1 species